GAAUGUUGUGACAAGAUGUGUAUUUUGCUGAGGUGGAAUGCUGAGUUGUUUUUGAGAUCCCCUUGUGCUUGUGUGUCUGUGUUGGUUCGAUUUCUAAUUUUCACCUCUGCACACACUCUCCUUCUUUACUGCAUGUCCAUUUCUCUUUUAGGAUUUUACAGAAAAAAAAAAAAAAAUCAAUUCCUUUAUCUUCUUCAUUUACUGAUUCUUGAUCUCUCUCUUGUUCUUUAUCUCUUUGGAUUGUUUUCUUAAUAUCUUCCCUCCAUAGCCACAUCUUUAUUGCAAUCAAAGAGUUUCAGCUUUUGCUAUUACUUCAACUCAAUCAACAAUUCUUAAUCAAUUCCCGCUUUAGCUUACCUACUGAUCUCAUCUGGGUUUCUUUUAGAUCUCAAGUGUACUUGUUAAAAUGCUGGAUCCAAGGAUCAGAGCCUGAUGAUAUGAGUAGCAAUACAGAAGGAGAUAACCAGCAGAAGAAGAGUUGUGCCGAUUGGGAGUAGUCUUUGAACGUAAGAAACUAAACCUGCAUAGUAGAUUCGAUCUUCAAGAAACCGACUGGCGACAGCAAGCAUGGGGCCUCCAACACUGCAUCCAACAUCGAGGAUCUGAUCUCUAGGCUUCACAUCAAUGAGAUUGAUGGUCAUCUCUUCGUGGAGAUGUGGCGUCGUGGUGUUUCAAAGGAACAAAGGGAGAGAAGCGGAAGGACUGAAUCCGUUAUUAUAAGGGAGUUAAAAUAUGUAACGGAGAAGGGUUGCCAACACAACUAAUCACUAAUUUUCUUUUGCACA